rnacentral:rRNA from 1 species
GGCGAACGCUGGCGGCAGGCCUAACACAUGCAAGUCGAACGAAGUCUUCGGACUUAGUGGCGGACGGGUGAGUAACACGUGGGAACGUGCCUUUAGGUUCGGAAUAACUCAGGGAAACUUGUGCUAAUACCGAAUGUGCCCUUCGGGGGAAAGAUUUAUCGCCUUUAGAGCGGCCCGCGUCUGAUUAGCUAGUUGGUGAGGUAAAGGCUCACCAAGGCGACGAUCAGUAGCUGGUCUGAGAGGAUGAUCAGCCACAUUGGGACUGAGACACGGCCCAAACUCCUACGGGAGGCAGAAGUGGGGAAUCUUGCGCAAUGGGCGAAAGCCUGACGCAGCCAUGCCACGUGAAUGAUGAAGGUCUUAGGAUUGUAAAAUUCUUUCACCGGGGACGAUAAUGACGGUACCCGGGGAAGAAGCCCCGGCUAACUUCGUGCCAGCCGCCGCGGUAACAC